rnacentral:sRNA from 12 species
GACAUCUCCCUCAAAAUAAAUAAUGAGAGGGAUGAAGAGAAAGGUAGCAUUGACAUU